CAGCCGCCGCGGUAAUACAGAGGAUGCAAGCGUUAUCCGGAAUGAUUGGGCGUAAACCGUCUGUAGGUGGCUUUUCAAGUCCGCCGUCAAAUCCCAGGGCUCAACCCUGGACAGGCGGUGGAAACUACCAAGCUGGAGUACGGUAGGGGCAGAGGGAAUUUCCAGUGGAGCGGUGAAAUGCGUUGAGAUCGAAAAGAACACCAACAGCGAAAGCACUCUGCUGGGACGACACUGACACUGAGAGACGAAAGCUAGGGGAGCAAAUGGGAUUAGAGACCCCGGUAGUCCCUGUCUCUUAUAC
rnacentral:rRNA from 1 species